rnacentral:sRNA from 1 species
AGAAAACCCGAUCAUAGGACCAGGUAACCCAUUAACUCAUGAACUCCAUCAACACAGCAUCCUCCUGACAGAACCGGACAUGGGCAGGGGCCAGGGGCUCAGUCCUCCCCCUUUAUAAAGAGAUCGAGUCUCAAUGCAGGGAAGUGACUCGCCCAGUGUCACAUAGGGCCUUGGAAGGACAGGAGCAGGCUGAAGCAGCAGCAUUGAGUCUGGAGGGGACAGGAUUGGGGACAGACAGCUUUGAUUUGAGAAAUGUGAAUAGGGGCGGAGGCGUGGAGUCCAGGACCCCAGCUGUCUUGCAGCGGUGGCCAGAGGAAGCAGGAGCAGGCCUCCUGCCCUGCUGGGAGGGAGUCAGCUGUCCCACCCCCAGCCCCCUUUUCAUCCCCCGCCCCAGGCAUCUCCCUGAUCAUGUGGAACGCUCUCUACACGGCUGAGAAGGUCAUCAUUCGAUGGACCCUGCUCACCGAAGCCUGCUAUUUUGGGGUCCAGUUCUUGGUGGUCACUGCCACGCUAGCUGAGACGGGCCUCAUGUCCCUGGGGAUCCUGCUGCUCCUGGUCAGCCGCCU